GACGAACGCUGGCGGCGUGCCUAACACAUGCAAGUCGAACGGAAAGGCCCUGCCUUUGUGGGGUGCUCGAGUGGCGAACGGGUGAGUAACACGUGAGUUACCUGCCCUUGACCUUGGGAUAACUUCAGGAAACAGAGGCUAAUACCGGAUAGGAUCUCCCGCUGUAUGGUGGGCGUUGGGAAGUUUCGGCGGUUGGGGUUGGACUCGCGGCUUAUGAGCUUGUUGGUGGGGUAGUGGCUGACCAAGGCUUUGACGGGUAGCCGGCCUGCGAGGGUGACCGGCCACAGUGGGCCUGGGAUGCGACCCAGACUCCUACGGGAGGCAGGAGUGGAGAAUAGAGCACGAUGGGCGGAGUGAGGAUGCAGCAACGCCGCGUGCGGGAUGUCGGCCUUCGGGUUGGAAACCGCUUUCGCCUGUGACGAAGCGUGAUUGACGGUAAUGGGUAAAGAAGCACCGGCUAACUACGUG
rnacentral:rRNA from 1 species